CGGCACCUCCCCACCCCUCCUCUGCUCCCACUCUGGCCAUGUGAGAUGCCGCUCCCUCUUCGCCUUCUGCCAAAAUUGCAAGCAAGGUCUCAUCAGAAGCAGGGCAGAUGCCGGCACCACACUUCAUAUAAAGUCUACAGAACAGUGAGCCAAUUAAACCUCUUUUCUUUAUAAAUUAUCCAGCCUCAGGUAUUUCUUUAUAGCAACAUAAGAAUGGCCUAACACAGGGUCUGUCUUAGGAAGGGGCCCUCGGGCUGUCCCUCUUCUCCCUGGCCCUAGCCCAGGAGGAGGACCAGCAAGAGUAGUGAAGUGAGAAGCCUCUCCAUGAAGAUGCCUUCUGCCAUUCACUACACACACAACAGCAUCUUGGUCCCAGAUGCUGGGUCCCAGAGAGGACCUCAAGGAGACUUCCCAGGAAAUUACCCACCACUGGACAUUGGACAAGGCAAAGCUGUGGUGUGGAAAGGGGCAAAUCCACAUCCCUCCAACGUGUGCCCACAUGACUGUCCCCGGGGCUUCCAUGAGCUUGAUGACCCAGAAGCUAUGGUCCUGCACACGUGAGUCUGUGACCUGACAGCUGUGCCUGCUUCACCAGUGUAGAGACUCGGAUCCCCAGGCAAACCCCAGAAGUGUGGAAGGGAAGGGGAGAAAGCCUGUGGAGGGAGGUGGAGGAGCCGUGGUUUCCAGUAACCAUCGCGGGUUAGUUCAGAGGGAAAUGUCCACAACAGAGAUGACUGUGACACCCGGCACAAGAUUUAAUUCUCAGAGUGAAAACGAGAAUGCCGUGUCUCUGGGAGCCCCCAGAGAAUGACUCAACAGUGACGUCCUACAGCAUGAUUUGCUUUAACUGCAGGUGAAGAGAAUCUUUCAGGAGUGGAGAGAAUAUAACUGAAUGCUUUGUCACAAAUUUACUUUGAUCUCAUGUACCCCGUAAAUACAGACACCUACUAUGUACCAGAAAAAUUAAAAAUAAAAAUAACAAAUUCACAUUCCGCUUGUUCAUCCUGAUUCUUCAGGCCUGGCCACUGUAUCAAAGACAACAAGGAAGGCCCAUUGCCUGCCCUCAUGCUGGUUGUUCAGCCCUCCAAGAAUCAUUCUUGAUGCCCUGCAAGUACCAGGCGCUGCGCUAGGCCCUGCAGAUGCGACAACGAACGUAGAUGCUGUCCCAGCCACCCACACUGGCUGCCCGGGGAAGAACCAGAGACGGGGGUCUUGCUAUGUUGCCCAGGCUGGUCUCAAACUCCUGACUCAAACAAUCCUCCUGCCUCAAACUCCCAAGUGCUGGGAUUACAGGUGUGAGCCACCACAUCCGGCAAGAGAAGUUCUAAGAUCCCCCUGUGGCUGCCUGAAACUGCAGAGAGUACCAAGCCUGACUGCCGCCAAUCAGAAGAAGUUUCUGUUCAGGUCUUCCACCCACGAAUGUAAUGCCUUUUUCGUCUUAACUAAGCACUUAUCACGCACUGUGGUCAUCACUUUUGCAGUCUGAGGUAUAAUUAUGCAAAGCAAAGAAUCCAGGAAAGAAUUGCCAGAGAAGGAAUUAAAAAUAAGAUAUUAUGUGAAAGUACCCACCUUGAUCCUGAAAGAAAAGAAACCAAGGGCAA